AUGCAGAAUUACACCUUGAGAGGUAACCAGGUUUACUCACGUCAACUUCCUCAAAAUAGUAUAGACAUUCACAUUCUUUAGCACUGCCAAUCGUCUUCCUCGAUUAAAGGUUCUAGAAAAUACAACAUGACUGAAGAAAAUUAGCGGAGAAAUUAGAGUUUUUUGUCAGUUGACUAACAGAUAGCAAGUUACAAGACAGGUUUGGGACAUGAAGGACAGAAUCUAGUGUUAUAGUCUCAGAAAUACGAAUACUUUCUUUUCUUGUAACAGAUGAUAGUGAGCCAUCUACAAUUUUGACGCUAAUGUUCCCAGGACAAGUAGAGUAUGAAGAAAAGAGGUGAUAUGCAUCCGUCAUGUGAUCGGAUGCAUCGGAGUCUAUAAUCCACACAUUUUUACAUCGUGAAGUGUUUAGAGCUCUAAGGAGGUUACCUUUGUGGGCUAAUAAACUAGAAUGACCUUUAGGAGACGGUUGACCCGAUGUUUGGAAGCUGGCGAACAAUUGAUAAAUUUGUUCAAGUUGUUCGGAAUUGAAUCCACCACUCAAAAUUGGGUUACUCUUAGUUUCUGCUUAAUACCCACGGUUCCUACUAUUUUGCAUCGAUUUCCAAUCGUUGGGCUUCCCAUUAAUUUCUCAACAUGUGUCCAUUUUAUGACCUGGCCUACGACAAUGCUCACACCAAACCUUUCUCGUUGUUUUUGUACUGGCUCAUUUAUUCCUCCCUUUGAAAACCCAAAGCUCCAGAGGCCCAAUUAGUGUUUUCAGUCUCUGGCCCAAGUGUUGGUCCGUUAACUUUACCUCGUCCAAGAAGCCCAUGUUCUGUAGUGUUCACCUGUCCAUUCUUCUUCCCUGCCAAGGCCGAAAUUUCUACUCCAGUGACUUACUUCAACAUCACAUGCUGGCGAGCUUCUUCCCGGCGCACCUUCACAAAUACCUCGCGGAUCGAUGGUAGUAGGCUUCUCCUAAUAUUCGGCGUCUGACCUCGUCCAACUCCCGAUUCAGCCCUGCGAGAAAUUCGAAUACUCUCUCAUGUUCCUGCUACUUGUACAAGGCGACGUCUUCCUUGCACUUUCACUCCUCUUCGCUGCUCAGGUCGAGGUCCUGCCAUAGGGAGGUCAUCUCCAUGAAAUAUUGGAUAAUAUCCCGUGUCCCCUGUUUCGUCUGCCAUAGACGGGUCUUAAGUUCGAAGACUUGUGCUGUGUUCCCAACGUCUGAAAAAGUCUCUUUCACGGCAUCCCAGACAUCUUUUGCCGUUGGGAGGAAGAGAUAGGCUUUCCCUAUCGACGGCUUCAUGGAGUUUACAAGCCAAGCGGUUGCCAUUGAAUUUUUAGAAUUCCACCGUUGCAGUUGAGCAGGAUCAGCUGGCUUCUUUGUCUCGCCGAUGUAUUGGAACCAAUGGAGGAGUGGACCUCUGCUUCGGGGUCGGAGAUGACAGAUCUGGUACUGUGAGAGGGGAAUUCCGCCAUUGACUGCUAGGUUAGAGCAACCUAGGCUCUGACACCAGAAACAAUUAGAGAUUUGAGAAAAUAAAUUCUCUUUCUCAAUACAUUAAUAGCCUUCUCACGUCAGUUUAUAUACACACAAGAGGAAGAAAAUAUGGAAAAACUAAUUUCCUAAUCUAGGAAACAAAUUAGCCUACCAAAUAACAAAAAUAUGUAAUCCCUAAUUAAUUACAAUUACUAUAAUUGGGUUUCUUUCCUUUUUCUUCCCUUGAUCGUUUUCUACACUUUUCCUUCACUCUAUCCCCAAAAAAAGUCUUUCUUGGAGUUUCAAGCUUUAUAUAUAAUCAAAUUACAAAGACCAGUAAUGAAGUAAUUAUUAGAUCAUGAAACUGAUUCUGUUAUCUAUUAGUUUUGUUUAUUCACUAUGAAUAGUUAGAAUUGGUUAGUGUUGAGCUUUCAUAGUUGGUAGUUAAGUGUUGAGCUGUUAUGUAACUAAUUCUGUACACAAGUCAGUCUAUUUUUAUUGCCUUGAUUGAAUUUAGAAACACGAGAUACAUGAAUACAGAGAAUGGAAUUUCUUUCUUCUAGUUCUUCUCUUCAAACUUUGAUAUGGUAUCAGAACAAAUAGCUUGAUUUGCUAUUGUUAUUUU